rnacentral:rRNA from 1 species
AUUGAACGCUGGCGGCAGGCUUAACACAUGCAAGUCGAGCGGAGUGAUGGUGCUUGCACUAUCACUUAGCGGCGGACGGGUGAGUAAUGCUUAGGAAUCUGCCUAUUAGUGGGGGACAACGUCUCGAAAGGGAUGCUAAUACCGCAUACGUCCUACGGGAGAAAGCAGGGGAUCACUUGUGACCUUGCGCUAAUAGAUGAGCCUAAGUCGGAUUAGCUAGUUGGUGGGGUAAAGGCCUACCAAGGCGACGAUCUGUAGCGGGUCUGAGAGGAUGAUCCGCCACACUGGGACUGAGACACGGCCCAGACUCCUACGGGAGGCAGCAGUGGGGAAUAUUGGACAAUGGGGGGAACCCUGAUCCAGCCGUGCCGCGUGUGUGAAGAAGGCCUUAUGGUUGUAAAGCACUUUAAGCGAGGAGGAGGCUCUUUUGGUUAAUACCCAAGAUGAGUGGACGUUACUCGCAGAAUAAGCACCGGCUAACUCUGUGCCAGCCGCCGCGGUAA